CGCGUAGGCGGUCGGGUAAGUCGAGUGUGAAAUUCCGGGGCUCAACCCCGCGAACUGCAUUCGAUACUGCUCGACUAGAGAGAGGUAGGGGCGAGUGGAAUUCCCGGUGUAGCGGUGGAAUGCGUAGAUAUCGGGAAGAACACCGGUGGCGAAGGCGGCUCGCUGGGCCUUUUCUGACGCUGAAGCGCGAAAGCGUGGGGAGCAAACAGGAUUAGAUACCCUGGUAGUC
rnacentral:rRNA from 1 species